CAGAUGCAGCAUGAGUUGGAAAAAAGUAUAGCUAAAGAGCUGCAGGAAGCUAACACAGAAUUUGACACAAUGUGUACCAGAAUAUCUCCUGUGGGUUCUACCGUUGGCUCUGUAAGAAUCCUUAAUCCAGAUCAAGAUUCAAAGUCAAGAGUCUACCAGCAGUAUCUGGAGGUCCUUCAGGAGAACCGCAAGAUAUAAGCACCACUGAGAUUAUAUGGACUCGAAACUGUUUACACUAAAUAGUUAUGUGUUAUAAAAAUGUUAAUUUUAACCUGUGUUUGUAUUUUUUUGUAAAUAAUGUUAUCUGCACAUUGCACUUGUUGCAGUAAAAUUACGUCCAGCCAUCCCAGAUAUGUAUUAGAAUUCCAAAAUAUAUCCAUAGACAUUUGUGAUACUUCUUAGUGGGACAUCAUUCAUGGUGUAAGAUGCAGAAGCACAUGAACCUUCAAGAUCUCAGAGGUCCUUUCUUCAGAUGUUAUGUCCACUAACUGUAACACAAACCUCUUUGGACUGUAAUCUUUGUGAACAUAUAGGCAAUAUCCAUCUUUAUGGUACUAUUUGUCAGUAAAUUGAAAAGCAAAGUAUUCAGGGUACACAUCAAUUUUUACUUUGUUCUUCUGUAUGUGUUGUCCUUGUUUUUAAUACGAGAGAUUGCAUUCGUAUCAUGUAUAUUUUAUAUCCCUUUAUCUGAUUUUGGAUCAUGGAAUACAUUUCUCUUUCCUUUUUACAAAAUCCAAAACCACUCCGUUUCCAACAGCUUUAUAAUGCUUACUUAAAAAUAAUUCAUGAGACCUUGAGACCUCUUACUUUUUAUAAUAUCCACAUUCUAUGUUGUAUUUCAUAAUGUGUUGUAUGUAUUUUUUUUUACAUUUUAAAGCCAAUUUUAAUUGGACUAGUCUCCAUCUGAUUUACAUUCCAUGACAGUAUUUAUUCAGCGAACACUUCAUUGUGCCAAGAAGGUUCUUGAAUGUAUUUUUAUAAAAGCAGAAGAGUAUAUCGGUACAAUUCAUUGUUGAUUCAGGAAAGUUGUGUACAAAUUGGUAUUGUCAUUCAAAAUGUAUGUGACUAUUUUAUAAUGAAAUGAAAUACAUGCUUAUAUUUAUAUCUGGGUUAAUACCCAUACCAGCUGUAGACCUCCGGUGUUUUGAGAGUUCUCCGGAGUGCUGCUGAAAUUCACCUUCACACUACAAAGCAAUAAAAAAUGAACCCCAAUAA